UCACUGUUGGAAGCACCAAUAUUUUGCAAUGCCAUCUUGUUGGUACUGAUGGAGAGACCAGUAUCACGUUAAUCAGAAGUGACAAAAAUCAGCAGCAGUAUGCUCUCUAAUAAUAGAAAAUUCUCCUUUAGCAGGCACGUUCCUAGCAGAAGGGAAAGGACGCAUAAACUGGCAACCUAUAUAGUCUGUGCAAUGGCCCUCAAAAAACCCAAGAUGCAUGCAGCCAACCUUAGUUGCAGAACUUCUGAUCUUUUUUCUAGACGUAGGACAGUACUCUCCAAGUAAUCCAAUUGAUGACAAAAAGAGAGAGGCCCGCUCAGACAUAAAAAAAGCUUCAAACUUGACGAACUCCACUUUUGAUGAACUGCAGAUGAAGCAGACAAAACUGCCAACUUCCUUAUAAUGAAGAAAAUAGAGGGGCUAGAGAUGGAUGGGUCUCUAUUGUAAACGUCCGCGUGAGAGAUUGUGGGAUGAAUUGGGGGAGAGCAAGGCUUUUAUAUACGCCAAGGAGGUAGAGAGAGAGAGUAGGUUUCUAGGGCAAACUCAGCCUCCUAAUUUUAA
rnacentral:misc_RNA from 1 species